CAGCACCUCAAGUGGUCAGGAUGAUUAUUGGGCCUAAAGCAUCCGUAGCCGGCGCUGUAAGUUUUCGGUUAAAUCUGUACGCUCAACGUACAGGCUGCCGGGAAUACUGCAGCGCUAGGGAGUGGGAGAGGUAGACGGUACUCGGUAGGAAGGGGUAAAAUCCUUUGAUCUAUUGAUGACCAUCUGUGGCGAAGGCGGUCUACCAGAACACGUCCGACGGUGAGGGAUGAAAGCUGGGGGAGCAAACCGGAUUAGAUACCCGAGUAGUCC
rnacentral:rRNA from 1 species